UGGUGGCUAUAUCUUGUUAAAACACUUGUCCCAUCCAAUCCCCAAAGUUAAGCAGUGUUGAAAUUGGUCAGUACCUACAUGAGUGACCACUUGGGAAUAUCAGGUGCUGUAAG